CUAAGUACAGCACGUUUGUUGACCUCUUGCAGCAAACAAGGCAAAAAGCGAAACUUGCAACCUUGUUGUGGCAACGUGAAAUGGCAACGCUCGUGAUGACAAGCCAAAUUGUGCAUGUGCAUACAUCUUAACCUCAGAUCAGGCAAGAUUACCCGCUGAAUUUAAGCAUAUUAAUAAGCGGAGGAAAAGAAACUAACAAGGAUUCCCCUAGUGAUGGCGAAUGGAGAGGGAAUAGCUCAAAUUGAAAAUCUCCAUUGUGUUGCCAUGGCGAAUUGUAGUUUUGAGAAAUACUUUCCCGGCACGUCGGGCCUGCCUAAGUUGGAACAGCACGUAACAGAAGGUGACAACCCGUACGUGGUAAAGCCCUUGUGUUUGCGAGGUGUUUUCGAAGAGUCGCCUUGUUUGGGAAUGCAGCCCAAAAUGGGUGGUAAACUCCAUCUAAAGCUAAAUAUGGGCACGAGGCCGAUAGCGAACAAGUACCGUGAGGAAAGAUGAAAAGGACUUUGAAAAGAGAGUUAAAAGUACGUGAAACCGUUGAAAGGGAAGCGAAUGGAGUUAGCAAUUCGUUUGUCAGAUUCAGUUGCAUGCACGCAGCAACGUGCGCGCUCUUGAUCCGCAUGGACAAGGUGUGUACGGAU